GCUCGUAGUUGGAUUUCGGGUGGGGCCUGCCGGUCCGCCGUUUCGGUGUGCACUGGCAGGGCCCACCUUGUUGCCGGGGACGGGCUCCUGGGCUUCACUGUCCGGGACUCGGAGUCGGCGCUGUUACUUUGAGUAAAUUAGAGUGUUCAAAGCAGGCCUACGCUCUGAAUACAUUAGCAUGGAAUAACACGAUAGGACUCUGGCCUAUCCUGUUGGUCUGUAGGACCGGAGUAAUGAUUAAGAGGGACAGUCGGGGGCAUUCGUAUUUCAUUGUCAGAGGUGAAAUUCUUGGAUUUAUGAAAGACGAACUACU
rnacentral:rRNA from 2 species